GUGGGGAAUCUUGCGCAAUGGGCGAAAGCCUGACGCAGCCAUGCCGCGUGAAUGAUGAAGGUCUUAGGAUUGUAAAAUUCUUUCACCGGGGACGAUAAUGACGGUACCCGGAGAAGAAGCUCCGGCUAACUUCGUGCCAGCAGCCGCGGUAAUACGAAGGGGGCUAGCGUUGCUCGGAAUUACUGGGCGUAAAGGGCGCGUAGGCGGACAGCUUAGUCAGGGGUGAAAGCCCAGGGCUCAACCUUGGAAUUGCCUUUGAGACUGGCUGUCUUGAGUUUGGGAGAGGUGAGUGGAACUCCGAGUGUAGAGGUGAAAUUCGUAGAUAUUCGGAAGAACACCAGUGGCGAAGGCGACUCACUGGCCCAAUACUGACGCUGAGGCGCGAAAGCGUGGGGAGCAAACAGGAUUAGAAACCCCUGUAGUCC
rnacentral:rRNA from 1 species